rnacentral:rRNA from 1 species
GACGAACGCUGGCGGCGUGCCUAAUACAUGCAAGUCGAACGCUUUUUCUUUCACCGGAGCUUGCUCCACCGAAAGAAAAAGAGUGGCGAACGGGUGAGUAACACGUGGGUAACCUGCCCAUCAGAAGGGGAUAACACUUGGAAACAGGUGCUAAUACCGUAUAACACUAUUUUCCGCAUGGAAGAAAGUUGAAAGGCGCUUUUGCGUCACUGAUGGAUGGACCCGCGGUGCAUUAGCUAGUUGGUGAGGUAACGGCUCACCAAGGCAACGAUGCAUAGCCGACCUGAGAGGGUGAUCGGCCACACUGGGACUGAGACACGGCCCAGACUCCUGCGGGAGGCAGCAGUAGGGAAUCUUCGGCAAUGGACGAAAGUCUGACCGAGCAACGCCGCGUGAGUGAAGAGGGUUUUCGGAUCGUAAAACUCUGUUGUUAGAGAAGAACAAGGAUGAGAGUAAAAUGUUCAUCCCUUGACGGUAUCUAACCAGAAAGCCACGGCUAACUACGUGCCAGCCGCCGCCAUAA